rnacentral:rRNA from 1 species
GGCGAGUGAAGCGGCAAAAGCUCAAAUUUGAAAUCUGGCGUCUUCGACGUCCGAGUUGUAAUUUGAAGAAGGCGACUUUGUAGCUGGUCCUUGUCUAUGUUCCUUGGAACAGGACGUCAUAGAGGGUGAGAAUCCCGUGUGGCGAGGAUCCCAGUUAUUUGUAAAGUGCUUUCGACGAGUCGAGUUGUUUGGGAAUGCAGCUCUAAGUGGGUGGUAAAUUCCAUCUAAAGCUAAAUAUUGGCGAGAGACCGAUAGCGAACAAGUACAGUGAUGGAAAGAUGAAAAGAACUUUGAAAAGAGAGUGAAAAAGUACGUGAAAUUGUUGAAAGGGAAGGGCAUUUGAUCAGACAUGGCGUUUGCUUCGGCUUUCGCUGGGCCAGCAUCAGUUUUAGCGGUUGGAUAAAUCCUCGGGAAUGUGGCUCUGCUUCGGUAGAGUGUUAUAGCCCGUGGGAAUACAGCCAGCUGGGACUGAGGAUUGCGACUUUUGUCAAGGAUGCUGGCGUAAUGGUUAAAUGCCGCCCG